UUUAUUAACCCUCUUUCCCUAAUAAUCCGGGGAGGGGUCGGAAGACCGACGCAUCUCUUUCUCUCUCUCUCCCCCGACCCCCCAACCCUAAAUCCAAAGUGCUGCUCACAUGAGGAGGAACAGGAGUCGGAAAGAAGCAACCAGAUAUUGUUGGUGCCAGGUGCAGCUUUUUAAGGGGCCCAGUUCUGA